rnacentral:rRNA from 1 species
ACGCUGGCGGCGUGCCUAACACAUGCAAGUCGAACGAGAUGCGUAUUGGAAAGCUUCGGCCGGAAGAUACGUUAUCUAGUGGCGGACGGGUGAGUAACACGUGGGUAACCUGCCUUAUGGAGGGGGAUAACAGAGAGAAAUCACUGCUAAUACCGCAUAAGCACACAUUGCCGCAUGGCAGAGUGUGAAAAGAUUUAUCGCCAUAAGAUGGACCCGCGUCUGAUUAGCCAGUUGGCAGGGUAAAAGCCUACCAAAGCAACGAUCAGUAGCCGAUCUGAGAGGAUGACCGGCCACAUUGGGACUGAGACACGGCCCAAACUCCUACGGGAGGCAGCAGUGGGGAAUAUUGCACAAUGGGGGAAACCCUGAUGCAGCGACGCCGCGUGAGUGAAGAAGUAUUUCGGUAUGUAAAGCUCUAUCAGCAGGGAAGAUAAUGACAGUACCUGACUAAGAAGCCCCGGCUAACUACGUGCCAGCAGCCGCGGUAAUACGUAGGGGGCAAGCGUUAUCCGGAUUUACUGGGUGUAAAGGGAGCGUAGACGGAGUGGCAAGUCUGAAGUGAAAACCCUGGGCUUAACCUGGGGACUGCUUUGGAAACUGUUAAUCUAGAGUGUUGGAGAGGUAAGUGGAAUUCCUGGUGUAGCGGUGAAAUGCGUAGAUAUCAGGAAGAACACCGGAGGCGAAGGCGGCUUACUGGACAAUAACUGACGUUGAGGCUCGAAAGCGUGGGGAUCAAACAGGAUUAGAUACCCUGGUAGUCCACGCUGUAAACGAUGAAUACUAGGUGUCGGGGAGCAAAGCUUCUCGGUGCCGUCGCUAACGCAAUGAGUAUUCCACCUGGGGAGUACGUUCGCAAGAAUGAAACUCAAAGGAAUUGACGGGGACCCGCACAAGCGGUGGAGCAUGUGGUUUAAUUCGAA